rnacentral:rRNA from 2 species
UGGGGGAUAUUGCACAAUGGGCGAAAGCCUGAUGCAGCGACGCCGCGUGAGGGAAGACGGUCUUCGGAUUGUAAACCUCUGUCUUCGGGGACGAAACAAAUGACGGUACCCGAGGAGGAAGCCACGGCUAACUACGUGCCAGCAGCCGCGGUAAUACGUAGGUGGCGAGCGUUGUCCGGAAUUACUGGGUGUAAAGGGAGCGUAGGCGGGGGAUCAAGUUGAAUGUCAAAUCUAUCGGCUCAACCGGUAGUCGCGUUCAAAACUGAUUUUCUUGAGUGAAGUAGAGGCAGGCGGAAUUCCUAGUGUAGCGGUGAAAUGCGUAGAUAUUAGGAGGAACACCAGUGGCGAAGGCGGCCUGCUGGGCUUUAACUGACGCUGAAGCUCGAAAGCGUGGGGAGCAAACAGG